rnacentral:SRP_RNA from 1 species
GAUUCGGAUGCUAACGAGUGAGGCUGGCUUCCAAGCAGCGAUCCGUCUGAGCUUCGUCCAGCGGAUG